rnacentral:lncRNA from 1 species
GGGUCCCUCUUUUGGCUUCUUUUAUAGAUGGAGAUCGGAGGUUUUUAUCUCCUAUUAAAUAUCUUCACGAGUCAUGCUUGACAAUGUCACUUCAUGGCAUGUGGGGGGCCCCACCUACUGUCGGCACGGGCUGACAAACAGGAGCUGAGAGUGUGGAAGGGGCUUAAUUUACUCAUGGUUACACUCAUUUAUUAAUGGAGUAAUGUGAUGGGGCCAUAAAGAGGCUUCUAGAGGGUCAAUGGCCAAAGUUGGGAGUGGGGGCCGAUACUAGGGUUGGAGGUCGAGGUGGGAUCGGAUGCAUGCGAAGAGUGCGAGCAUCCACAGGCCGAAGCAGGAUGCAUGGGUGCAUCCUCCUUUCUCUUCUUCUUCUGCCACCUUUUCUCCUUUUGUCCUUUCCUUUUCCUUUUUGUCUUGUUCUGAUGUUGAUGGGAGGAUGGGAUGAAAAAUGGGAGGGGGCAAUUAAAGCCUCGUGAGGU